GGGGCCCAUUCAAUCCUUGUUUGUUUAUUAGUUUUCAAUUCUGCGCUUUAUCGCGGGGUAGAGCAGCUUGGUAGCU
rnacentral:tRNA from 1 species